GACGAACGCUGGCGGCGGGCUUAACACAUGCAAGUCGAACGGAAAGGCCCUGCUUUUUUGUGGUGCUCGAGUGGCGAACGGGUGAGUAACACAGGAGUAACCUUCCCUGGACUGGAUGAUAACUUCAGGAAACUGCUGCUAAUACCUGCUAGGAGCGCCUGCUGCAUGGUGGUGGUUGGAAAUCUUCGGCGGUGGUGGCUGUACGCGCGGCUUAUCAGCUGGUGGGUGGGGUAGUUGCUUACCAAGGGUUUGAAGGGUGGCCGGCAUGAGAGGGUGACCGGCGACAUUGGGACUGAGAGACGGCCCAGACUCCUACGGGAGGCAGCAGUGGGGAAUAUUGCACAACGGGCGGACGCCUGAUGCAGAAAUGCCGCGUGCGGGAUGACGGUCUACGGGUUGUAAACCGCUUUCGGCUGUGACGAAGCGUGAGUGACGGUAAUGGGUAAAGAAGCACCGGCUAACUACGUG
rnacentral:rRNA from 1 species